AUUCAUUUGAAAACCGUUGAACUGUAUAGUAGUCUUCUAGCUAACAGUUUUAAAGUAGAUGCUCUUGUAUCUGGUCAGCUUUGCAAAUGCAUCUGUGCAAUUAUAGACCGAGCCCUUCUCUGUUACCCCUCCUCCUGGGUGACGCAAAUACAUCCGGACGUUUGGAUUGGACCAUACCGCACACGUUAAAACUACGCAAUUCUGGACAGGAGGAAUGCACGGUUGUCUGAUAGAAAUAUGUUCCAUGUCUGUUUGAGUUCAUUUAUUCUCACCCAAACCCUGACACACCCCUUCAGAAUGGUCGGCACGUCAGAAUGUUCAAAUAAAUAUUUGGAAACCAAGGGGUGUAGCCUAGGCUAAUGCCUAUAGGCUAUGGAAUGUGUCAAAUGAGUAGUCUGCUGUUGAUCAUUCACAAAAGGAUCGGUACAUCCGAACAUCACACCUACGGAACAAGUACAGGAUGGCAACAACAACUGCCCGAGUUACACCAGGAACGCACAAUCCAUCCAUCAGUGCUCAGACUAUCCGCAAUAGGCUGAGAGAGGCUGGACUGAGGGCUUGUAGGCCUGUUGUAAGGCAGGUCCUCACCAGACAUCACCAGCAACAACGUCGCUUAUGGGCACAAACCCACCGUCGCUGGACCAGACAGGACUGGCAAAAAGUGCUCUUCACUGAAGAGUCACAGUUUUGUCUCACCAGGAGUGAUGGUCAGAUUCGCAUUUAUCGUCAAGGAAAUGAGCAUUACACUGGGACCUGUUGGCAUGUGCCUUGUUGGAUGAGAAAGGGUAAAAUGUCACAGCAAGAACUGGCAAAUCUGGUGCUGUCCAUAAGGAAGAGAUGCACUGCAGUACUUAAUGCAGCUGGUGACCACACCAGAUACUGACUGUUACUUUUGAUUUUGACCCCCCCUUUGUUCAGGGACACAUUAUUCAAUUUCUGUUAGUCACAUGACUGUGGAACUUGUUCAGUUUAUGUCUCUUGGUGAAUCUUGUUAUGUUCAUGCAAAUAUUUACACAUGUUAAGUUUGUUGAAAAUAAACGCAGUUGACAGUGA